rnacentral:rRNA from 1 species
UGGGGAAUCUUGCGCAAUGGGCGAAAGCCUGACGCAGCGACGCCGCGUGAGUGAUGAAGGCCUUCGGGUUGUAAAGCUCUGUGGGGAGAGAAGAAUAAGUGCGGGCUAAUACCCCGCAUGAUGACGGUAUCUCCUUAGCAAGCACCGGCUAACUCUGUGCCAGCAGCCGCGGUAAGACAGAGGGUGCAAACGUUGUUCGGAAUUACUGGGCGUAAAGCGAGUGUAGGCGGUUUGGUAAGUCGGAUGUGAAAGCCCCGGGCUCAACCCGGGAAGUGCAUUCGAUACUGCCAAGCUAGAGUAUCGGAGAGGUUGGUGGAAUUCUCGGUGUAGAGGUGAAAUUCGUAGAUAUCGGGAAGAACACCAGUGGCGAAGGCGGCUAACUGGUCCGGUACUGACGCUGAGGUGCGAAAGCGUGGGGAGCAAACAGGAUUAGAUACCCCAGUAGUCCCUGAGCGGGCUGGCAAGGCGCAU